rnacentral:tRNA from 1 species
GCGUUCGUGGUGUAGUGGUCAGCAUGCUCGACGCGUAACCGAGAGGUCCGUGGUUCGAAUCCCGGCGAAGGCG